rnacentral:lncRNA from 1 species
CUGCUUAAAAAUGAAGAAGUCGUGACACCUAGCGGCUGAGAAUCAUGGAAGUACCCUUUCCACCUCUUUCCACGUCCCUGUGCCUGCCAAGUUCAAGGCUGAUGACACUUGGACUCACAAAGAAAAAAAUCAGAAGUGAGUGGAAAAACACUUCCAGCUGACCCAAAGAGGAACUGCGUCCUUUACCUGCUACAGUCUUCCUCCACAUGUUUUACCUUAUUUCUGCAGGUUAAGAUGAAUUAUACAUUGUUCAUUGUGAGGAGAACUAGUCCAGAAAUUGGAACCUGAGGCCUGGCAGAAUCCAGGAACAAAGGCAACCCUCCAACCUCUACUUUCCAAGUGGGAACCAGAUAUCCAAAUAUGGCCUUCACUUGAAGGUCCGGGAGAACGGGUGAGGUGCCUGAAGACUGAAGGAAAGCCAGUGUCAUUCUGGUCUUCAAAAAGGGCAGGAAGGAGAAUCUGGGAAGUGACAGGUCAGUGUUUGGGAUGCCACACGGAACCAGGACUGGGGACCAGGACUGGAAACCAGGAUUGAGGCGCAGAAUAUAGGCGCCCCCUCCCUACCCAUUCAAAAGCUGCCCCUAGGGAGCGCGAACAACCAGGACGGGGAAACAGGGCAUGGCGCCUCAGAAGGUCCCCUUCCUGGCCUCGCCAAGAUUAGAGAACUCCACCAUUUCGUGGUCAC